GACGAACGCUGGCGGCGUGCCUAAUACAUGCCAGUAGAACGCUGAAGAGAGGAGCUUGCUCUUCUUGGAUGAGUUGCGAACGGGUGAGUAACGCGUAGGUAACCUGCCUUGUAGCGGGGGAUAACUAUUGGAAACGAUAGCUAAUACCGCAUAACAAUGGAUGACACAUGUCAUUUAUUUGAAAGGGGCAAUUGCUCCACUACAAGAUGGACCUGCGUUGUAUUAGCUAGUAGGUGAGGUAACGGCUCACCUAGGCGACGAUACAUAGCCGACCUGAGAGGGUGAUCGGCCACACUGGGACUGAGACACGGCCCAGACUCCUACGGGAGGCAGCAGGAGGGAAUCUUCGGCAAUGGGGGCAACCCUGACCGAGCAACGCCGCGUGAGUGAAGAAGGGUUUCGGAUCGUAAAGCUCUGUUGUAAGUCAAGAACGAGUGUGAGAGUGGAAAGUUCACACUGUGACGGUAGCUUACCAGAAAGGGACGGCUAACUACGUG
rnacentral:rRNA from 1 species